UACGGAGGGGGCUAGCGUUGUCCGGAAUUAUUGGGCGUAAAGAGCUCGUAGGCGGUUUGUCGCGUCGGCUGUGAAAACCCGGGGCUCAACCCCGGGCCUGCAUUCGAUACGGGUAGACUAGAGUUCGGUAGGGGAGUCUGGAAUUCCUGGUGUAGCGGUGAAAUGCGCAGAUAUCAGGAGGAACACCGGUGGCGAAGGCGGGACUCUGGGCCGAUACUGACGCUGAGGAGCGAAAGCGUGGGGAGCAAACAGG
rnacentral:rRNA from 1 species